AUUGAACGCUGGCGGCAGGCCUAACACAUGCAAGUCGAGCGAGCGGCGGACGGGUGAGUAAUGUAUGGGGAUCUGCCUGAUAGAGGGGGCUCACUACUGGAAACGGUGGCUAAUACCGCAUACUAUCGGAUGUACCCAGAUGGGAUUAGAUAGUAGGUGGGGUAAUGGCUCACCUAGGCGACGAUCUCUAGCUGGUCUGCGAGGAUGAUGAGCAACACUGGAACGGAGACAGGGCCCAGCGUACAACGGGAGGCGCAAGUGGGAAAAAGUGCAAAGUGGGCGCAAGCCUGACGCAGCAAUGACGGGGGUGCGAUGAAGGCCUUAGGGUUUGAAAGUACUUUCAGCGGGGAGGCGUUACCCGCAGAAGAAGCACGGGCUAACUACGUGCCAGAAGCCGCGGUAAUCC
rnacentral:rRNA from 1 species